ACACGCUGGCGGCGUGCCUAACACAUGCAAGUCGAACGGGAUCCAUGGGAGCUUUGCUCCCGGAAGAUCUAGUGGCGAACGGGUGAGUAACACGUGAGAAACCUGCCUCGGAGUCGGGGAUAACUCGGGGAAACCCGAGCUAAUACCGGAUACCUUCCUCGGACCGCAUGGUCCGUUGAAGAAAGAUUCAUCGCUCCGAGAUGGUCUCGCGGCCUAUCAGCUAGUUGGUGGGGUAACGGCCCACCAAGGCUACGACGGGUAGCUGGUUUGAGAGAAUGAUCAGCCACACUGGGACUGAGACACGGCCCAGACUCCUACGGGAGGCAGCAGUGGGGAAUCUUGCGCAAUGGGCGAAAGCCUGACGCAGCAACGCCGCGUGCGGGAAGAAGGCCUUUGGGUUGUAAACCGCUUUCAGCAGGGACGAAACUGACGGUACCUGCAGAAGAAGGUCCGGCUAACUACGUG
rnacentral:rRNA from 1 species